rnacentral:rRNA from 1 species
CCUACGGGAGGCAGCAGUGGGGAAUAUUGGGCAAUGGGCGCAAGCCUGACCCAGCAACGCCGCGUGAAGGAAGAAGGCUUUCGGGUUGUAAACUUCUUUUGUCAGGGACGAAGCAAGUGACGGUACCUGACGAAUAAGCCACGGCUAACUACGUGCCAGCAGCCGCUGUAAUACGGAGGUGGCAAGGGUUAUCCGGAUGUACUGGGUGUAAAGGGCGUGUAGGCGGGGAAGCAAGUCAGAUGUGAAAACCACGGGCUCAACCUGUGGCCUGCAUUUGAAACUGUUUGUCUUGAGUGCUGGAGAGGUAAUCGGAAUUCCGUGGGUAGCGGUGAAAUGCGUAGAUAUACGGAGGAACACCAGUGGCGAAGGCGGAUUGCUGGACAGUAACUGACGCUGAGGCGCGAAAGCGUGGGGAGCAAACAGGAUUAGAUACCCUAGUAGUC